rnacentral:rRNA from 1 species
CCCUUAGAUGUCCUGGGCUGCACGCGCGCUACACUGAUGUGUCCAGUAAGCACCUAACCUAUUCCGAGAGGAGCGGGUAACCUUAGCAAAGCACAUCGUGAUGGGGAUAGAUUAUUGCAAUUAUUAGUCUUGAACGAGGAAUUCCUAGUAAGCACAGGUCAUCAGCUUGUGUUGAUUACGUCCCUGCCCUUUGUACACACCGCCCGUCGCUCCUACCGAUUGAAUGUUCCGGUGAGCUCUUCGGACUGCGCGGUCUGCAGUUUCUGCGUUCCGUGCGGAAAGUUGUGCAAACCUUAACAUUUAGAGGAAGGAGAAGUCGUAACA